UACGUAGGGCGCAAGCGUUGUCCGGAAUUAUUGGGCGUAAAGAGCUCGUAGGCGGCUUGUCACGUCGGAUGUGAAAGCCCGGGGCUUAACCCCGGGUCUGCAUUCGAUACGGGCUAGCUAGAGUGUGGUAGGGGAGAUCGGAAUUCCUGGUGUAGCGGUGAAAUGCGCAGAUAUCAGGAGGAACACCAAUAGCGAAGGCAGCUCGCUGGGACGGUACUGACGCUAAGGCGCGAAAGCGUGGGGAGCGAACAGG
rnacentral:rRNA from 1 species